GAGAAAGGUAUUAGGGUUACAUAAUUGUGACGCAUCAAAUUCCUUCAAACCGAACUCGACUCCCUCCUUCAUCAUAGAGGCAACAACGACGGCGGCCAUCUUUUCUUCGACCGUCCCUCUAUUUUUCGUUGUAGAUCCACGGAGAGCCAACCUCAUCUCCUCUCAUAUGAACUCUCUACCGCGAUCACCUCAUUCUCUUCUUCACUUCUUCAUUUCUCCACGUGAAUUGUUCGGAGUCGCUGUUGCGUAUGAAACUGAGCGUUGUUAUUCUCGAACACGAAGAUGAUAUGAAGAUUUUCUUGUUCGCAGUGUCGAAGUCGUGCGUGAUGAAGAUACUGACGCGAUGAAGUUGUUACGAGCUUCAAGGUGAUAACGAUCAUGGUUAACAGAAGUUUGAUGACGUGGAAAAUCGGUGAUGAGAGUUUCAGUAUUGACGAACAGAUUAUUGCAAGUCCAUGAUGAAGCUCCGAAGGAUGAAGAUUGUGACAAGUUGUUGGAGCUUGAUGCUGAGAGAAUAUUGUUGAGGAAUGAUGUGCUGAUUGAAGUAGUUGAUCUCCUGUAGUUGGUGAUGGAGGAUCGAUGAUGUAGAAUUGGUGAAGAGUUGAAGGUUGCUGAGUGGUGAUUGAUGAUGAUGAAGAUGAUGACUGAAGAGAUUGGUGGAAUUAGGUGUUCGUCUCGAUUCGGUUAUAGGAUGCAGAACUGAAAUUCAAGAAGAAAGGAUGAGAGAGAUUCAGAAGGAGUUUCGAAGGUUGGGGAUUGAAGAGAGGUUAAAGCUUGAUGAUUUAAGGAUGAAGGUUGAAUGAAUCGUCCGAGAGAGUGAUCAAUGGAGACAGAGUUUUUCUGUUGAAGUUUGUUACCUAUUCCCCGUUAAUCUCAACCUUUGAUUCAAGUAAGUUUGUUAUUCCAUUGAAUGGUGAGAUCGACUCUAUUAUCCGGUGAUUACGAAAUGGUUUUUCCUAUUAACUCUCUUAUGAAACUUCUGUUACCAAUUCAGUUCCCAAUUUUUUUUCUCCUUUUCUGUUAUACUGUUAAAUACAAUAUGUUGAACCGCUUUUGCAACAGGUCUGAACCGUUUUUCAUCAUGGUUGCGGUUCGGUCUAUGCAGAGCUCUCUUUUCGGUUAGUUCUGUUGCAGCUUGGUUCAGUUAUUUUUCGUAUGCACGGGCGGUUUUAUUGCAGGGGCGGUAGUUGAUGCUUUCUCACAGCAGAAUUUUUGUUUAGGUUUAUUUUAUUUUUCUGGUAUGCUGAACCUGUGCGGUUUUUAAAUGGUUCAGGAUCGGUUCAAUUGUAUUUUUCAUGGCAGAAUUUUUGAAUACUUGGUUAUCUCUGAAUGCAGGUUUGAUUUUGUUAAGGGCCCUUAGAACUGUCACAGUAUUGGGCUGGUGUAGAGCCAAGUUUCACACCCCGUAGUAGAAUUUUAAGAUCCACAACAGGUGGAGAGAGUGGAAAUCCAAGAACAUUCAUGUAUUUUUGUGUGUAAUUUCAAAUGUAGUUUGUAAUGGAUGUUGAAUGGUAUAAUGUGUAAUUUUUGUAAAUCCUUUUAAUGACAAAUUCUCAAGUAUUAAAAGUAUCUUUAAAUGGAAUGGAUAUUAAAGCUUGCACCUGAAUUUAAAUCUUGAGCUUGAAAUGGGCCAUAGUGUACAUGAAUGAUAUUUAGGCUUAGUUAAAUGCUCACUUCUCAUGAACCUUGCAUCUUGUUGAAUCCCGUUUGAAUCCCUUUCUUCUAACAUUUGAAUCAAAGUCACAUUGCUCCACGUAUUCAAUCUUCAUGUUGCUAAGCAAUCAUUCUCCGAACUUAUUUAAUUCACGCCAAAACUCUAGCACAAAUAUAUGACCUGUCAGCAGAUGAUGUGUGAAUACAAGAUUACAAUCACAAAGAUGUUUUUGAUUCAUGGCAAACUCAAUAAGCAUACAAGCAACAGGGUGGAAGCAGAAAACUCAAAGAAAAGCAAGCAUUGAUCACUCAU